UACGAAGGGGGCUAGCGUUGCUCGGAAUCACUGGGCGUAAAGGGCGCGUAGGCGGCCUGUUAAGUCGAACGUGAAAUCCCCGGGCUCAACCCGGGAACUGCGUCCGAUACUGGCAGGCUUGAAUUCGGGAGAGGGAUGUGGAAUUCCAGGUGUAGCGGUGAAAUGCGUAGAUAUCUGGAGGAACACCGGUGGCGAAGGCGGCAUCCUGGACCGAUAUUGACGCUGAUGCGCGAAAGCCAGGGGGAGCAAACGGG
rnacentral:rRNA from 1 species